GUAGGUGGCAAGCGUUGUCCGGAAUUAUUGGGCGUAAAGCGCGCGCAGGCGGUCCUUUAAGUCUGAUGUGAAAGCCCACGGCUCAACCGUGGAGGGUCAUUGGAAACUGGGGGGCUUGAGUACAGAAGAGGAAAGCGGAAUUCCAAGUGUAGCGGUGAAAUGCGUAGAGAUUUGGAGGAACACCAGUGGCGAAGGCGGCUUUCUGGUCUGUAACUGACGCUGAGGCGCGAAAGCGUGGGGAGCAAACAGGAUUAGAUACCCUGGUAGUCCACGCCGUAAACGAUGAGUGCUAAGUGUUAGGGGGUUUCCCGCCCCCCUUAGUGCUGCAGCUAACGCAUUAAGCACUCCGCCUGGGGAGUACGGCCGCAAGGCUG
rnacentral:rRNA from 1 species